rnacentral:rRNA from 1 species
CCCCUAGAUGUUCUGGGCCGCACGCGCGCUACACUGAACAGUUCAACAAGUCUUAACCUUGGCCGAUAGGUCUGGGUAAUCUUUGAACGCUGUUCGUGAUUGGGAUAGACCUUUGCAAUUAUGGGUCUUCAACGAGGAAUUCCUAGUAAACGCAAGUCAUCAGCUUGCAUUGAUUACGUCCCCGCCCUUUGUACACACCGCCCGUCGCACCUACCGAUUGAAUGGUCCGGUGAAAUCUCGGGACGGCGGCUUGGUCGCUUGCGUCCGACUGCUGAAACUUGAUUAAACCAUAUCAUUUAGAGGAAGGUGAAGUCGUAACC